GCCUUACCAAAGAAGCAGCCAGCUUGCUGGAAGCGGAAAAGGGAAAGGCUUAGUGGCGGACGGGUGAGUAACGCGUGGGUAACCUGGCCCAUACAGGGGGAUAACACUUAGAAAUAGGUGCUAAUACCGCAUAACAACAGAAAGCGCAUGCUUUUUGUUUGAAAACCAAGGUGGUAUGGGAUGGACCCGCGUCUGAUUAGCUGGUUGGCGGGGUAAAGGCCCACCAAGGCGACGAUCAGUAGCCGGCCUGAGAGGGUGGACGGCCACAUUGGGAAUGAGACACGGCCCAAACUCAUACGGGAGGCAGCAGUGGGGAAUAUUGCACAAUGGGGGAAACCCUGAUGCAGCGACGCCGCGUGAGUGAAGAAGUAAUUCGUUAUGUAAAGCUCUAUCAGCAGGGAAGAAAAUGACGGUACCUGAGUAAGAAGCCCCGGCUAACUACGUGCCAGCAGCCGCGGUAAUACGUAGGGGCAAGCGUUAUCCGGAUUUACUGGGUGUAAAGGGAGCGUAGACGGCAGUGCAAGUCUGGAGUGAAAGGCGGGGGCUCAACCCCCGGACUGCUCUGGAAACUGUACGGCUGGAGUGCAGGAGAGGUAAGUGGAAUUCCUAGUGUAGCGGUGAAAUGCGUAGAUAUUAGGAGGAACACCAGUGGCGAAGGCGGCUUACUGGACUGUAACUGACGUUGAGGCUCGAAAGCGUGGGGAGCAAACAGGAUUAGAUACCCUGGUAGUCCACGCCGUAAACGAUGAUCACUAGGUGUCGGGGGUUAAAGAACCUUCGGUGCCGCAGCCAACGCAGUAAGUGAUCCACCUGGGGAGUAC
rnacentral:rRNA from 1 species